GGCAGCAGACAGAAUGCUGUGAACUCAAAGCGGUAGUAACUUUAGUAAGUGUGACAUUUACAGGGCAGAAUGCGAAGUCCUAUUCUGUUAGCAACACAAACACACAGAGGCACAUAUUUUUUUGCCCAUCCAUUUGGAGAGGAAAAGCCAAAGAGGAUAUAGACUUAGCUAUGAAAGAACAAAUGUUGAAAUUCUACAGCUGGGCCGUGCCACCUCUUCUAAUCUCUGUCUGGUUGGCUGUUUAUGCCGAUGUUGGAAAUACAGCAAAGGAAAAUGCUGCCAUCUCAUCUAAUUUGUCUGCCACGACCACAACCCAUUCUGGAGUGCUUCACACAGAGAUAGUCCCCCUUAAGCCAGAGCAUCCGUCUGUAACUCAGACCCCAGGAAAAGAGAAGGCCAAAGAGGGAGAAACAGUGUCCUUAGGGUGCCAGUUCUGCAGUCCCCAAGGUCCAUCUUUGAACAAGCUAACGGUGAAGUGGUACAAGGAAGAUGAAAAAGGGCGGACGGGCCUCAUGGAAAACAAUGUCACUAUCUUGGCAAACUACUCCAAAUUUUUUAUGUCAGGGAAUUUAUCGGAAGGUGAUGCAUCUCUAACUAUCCUAAAUGUGACAGCGAGUGAUCAUGGUACAUAUUUCUGCCAGGUGACACUUUCCACUGGAGAAAUACUGACGGGGGAUGGCACGAAGCUCAGGAUCAGGAGAGCCCUGGGUAAAGUUCUUUCAUUCUUUUGACUGUUUGGUAUUGAAGAAUCCAUUGGAACAAUAAUUGGAGUAGCAGCAGCUGGCAUUGGCGGCUUGGUAGUUCUGAUCAUAGUUUUAACUCCUCAGCUGAGGAAGUGCCUUCCGUGUGCUAAAGCAACAUCCCAACCAGCUUAAUGUCGGCAACAUGAGUAAAAAAACUAAUGUGCCAAGGGUGAAAUUUUUUUCAAUGUAAACAAAAACAAUCAAUUGUUUGAGCGUUUUCUGUGGUAUGUCUCAAGAUAUAAUAAAAUGUUACUUUUAGAAUCCUUUUAAGAACAGA